rnacentral:ncRNA from 1 species
UCGGGUUCAUAGCAGACGCCCGGCCACCGCAAGGCAUUUCGCCCAAGCUCUGC